UCGAGCGCUACCUUCGGGUGGAGCGGCGGACGGGUUAGUAACGCGUGGGAACAUACCCUUUACUAAGGAAUAGCCACUGGAAACGGUGAGUAAUACCUUAUACGCCCUUCGGGGGAAAGAUUUAUCGGUAAAGGAUUGGCCCGCGUUAGAUUAGAUAGUUGGUGGGGUAACGGCCUACCAAGUCGACGAUCUAUAGCUGGUUUGAGAGGAUGAUCAGCAACACUGGGACUGAGACACGGCCCAGACUCCUACGGGAGGCAGCAGUGGGGAAUCUUAGACAAUGGGCGCAAGCCUGAUCUAGCGAUGCCGCGUGAGUGAUGAAGGCCUUAGGGUCGUAAAGCUCUUUCACCAGGGAUGAUAAUGACAGUACCUGGAAAAGAAACCCCGGCUAACUCCGUGCCAGCAGCCGCGGUAAUACGGAGGGGGUUAGCGUUGUUCGGAAUUACUGGGCGUAAAGCGUACGUAGGCGGACUAGUAAGUUAGGGGUGAAAUCCCGGGGCUCAACCCCGGAACUGCCUUUAAUACUGCUAGUCUUGAGUUCGAGAGAGGUGAGUGGAAUUCCGAGUGUAGAGGUGAAAUUCGUAGAUAUUUGGAGGAACACCAGUGGCGAAGGCGGCUCACUGGCUCGAUACUGACGCUGAGGUACGAAAGUGUGGGGAGCAAACAGGAUUAGAU
rnacentral:rRNA from 1 species